UUAAAAGUGUAUUGAAAACACAGCCUCCUAUCUUGACUUUCCUCUUCUGUAACACUUAUGUAUCAUGUUUUAAAUCACCCUGGUUGUGCCUUAAUGGGAAAAAUAGUUGUGUGUGUGUGUGUGUGUGUGUGUGUGUGUACUUUCCUUUUGAUACUUUACCGAUGAUAUGCACACUAAUUUUUCUGAUCUAUAGCCAUUUUAUUUCAAAAAAUCUACUUUCCUUCAAAGCAGCUUUAAUGCCAUUUCCACAGACAAAGAAAUUGGCAAGUGUGUCUCUAUUUAGACCUUAAACUCCGCAUUGCAUCUGGAACACUCUCACUGAGGACCCAGGCCCACUCCGUUACUAGCUUUCAUUGGUCAACAACAGAACCAAGGCAAUGUCAGGAAGAAAAGCUUG
rnacentral:lncRNA from 10 species